UUUUUCAGGCCAGAAUAAAGUGGCCAUAAUAACGAGGUAGUCGUAUUAGCGGGGUGGUCGUAAGGCGGGGUUCCGCUGUAUUUGGUUUUUGUAAAUAGAUAGAUGCAGAAGGGGGGAGAGGACACAAUCAGUGAAAGAAAUUCAUUACCAUGAAUAACUGUGAACAAUGAGUGAGUUUCUUGUGCCAAUAAAAGUAGAGCUAUUAAAAUUAUGAACCCUUGGUGACAGGGAUCGAAAGCAAAUGAGCAAUUUUAAAUUUUAAAUCAAAGCAAAAUUAAAUCAAAGUACUUUUUAAUCCUUAUUUUCAAUGUCUUUUUAAUCUGUUUUGAUGUGGUUAAAUGUAAUUUCAGCUAAGUUAAACGUGAAACAGUGCUGGUCAGCAGCCUUCCCCUGUUUUGGACAUGAGCAGUGGUGUGGGGUCUGCUGGGGGUCGUGUGGUUUUACAGUGUGGCUUUUGAGGUCAACUCAUUCUCACGUGCGUUUGUGCCGUUUCGACUGUGCUUGGCGAUUUAGCUCCCUGCUCUCCCUCCCUCUCUGGUAAGUAUGAGGUAAGUAUUAUGGUUCCACUGUUUUUGCAGUGUGACGGUGCCUGGUGGUUGCCGCUCACAGGGUUGUCAUGGUUGCCCUACAACUCGGCUCUUGUGCACAGGGUUGUCAUGGUUACCCUAUGUGCUCGGCUCUUGUGCUCGAGGCUCCACUAUCUUUCCAGGCACCUUCCCCAAGCUCAUCUAUUGUUGAUGAGUUUAAGGGCUAGGAAAUUCAUAGUAAUAUAAAGUUUUCGAAGACCUUUUCUUAUUAUUCACCAUUUUUGUAUUAUAAACAAGGAUUUUUCUUACUUAAAAUUAGUGGUAAAAUUCUAACAUUAUUUUACGCACACUGAGCUUUGGAUGCUCACUCGCGCUAUUCAGGGCUCCCAAAAAGUGCUGUCUGAUCUUCCAGGACAAGUACUUACCUAGGGCAAGUGAGAUUUGAGUGCUACUUCAGGGAUUGGGAAGGCAAAACAGACAAAUGAGCCUAUGGCCCAUGGCAUUGGAAAGUUAUGGGCCAUUUAUAUGAAAAAAAUGGGCCAUUAGGUAAAUAAAUGGGCCAUAAAAAUUUUUUUUGACAAAUGAUUCGUAAUUCUUGAUUGCUGUUGUUUUAUACUUUUUACUGGACUUCAAGCUAGGUUAAAGUGUACAGUCACAGAAUAUAGCUAACUCAAAUUAUAUAACCUUUCAUUGAGGUUAAGCUAUGCAUUCUGAACUGGAACUGAUUAAAUGUAACACACCGAGUAGUCUGACAUCAACAUCACUGAGACAUGCUCAGUUUUAGAUUUAGAGUGACAAGUAAGGUUGCAUUUACAAUUUAAAACUUGAGCUAUACAUGAACUGUACAUAACACACCUGUAGCUCUCUAAUAAUUAAUGAAACAUUCACCAAAAGUUUUUUCGUUCCUUAGAACUAGAAGGCUUGGAAGCUUCAUCUUGAUUGUUGUUUUCAGGAUCACAAUUCGUUGUGGCGAACUUGGUGUUCGUAGUGUAAAGCGGCAAUUUUGGAACUUUUGCUUUCAGAGGCACAUUAUUCGGCUAAUUACAGCAUGCAAAACAUAUUCGACCAUAUUCAAAUCAGCCGUUUCUAUCAUUGAAAAACAGAAAGCACAUGGAUUGAGCAAGACCCCAAGUAAGGGGUCUGGGGAUGAAAAAUGCUUUCUUAAUGUCGAUUGAAGAGCAUAGGCAUCUUCAUUUCUCACAUGUUUAGUCAUUAUAACACUGAAAAUUUCACAAAUGAAAAUCCUUUCCACAAAAUAGUGUAUAUUUUGCUAGCUGUUUUGAUGCUAGGGCACAUCGCAGGCUGGUAGGUGCUUUUAUAAUGCUUCAUUUCAUAGAUUUAUGUGCCAUAUGCCUACGGCGCAUGGCCUUCUCAAUCCCUGCUACUUGUCCCAAGGGCAAGCUGGAAUUUUUUCCCCUAGCCUCACAAAACUCUUGUAGCCAGUAGAAAUUGUGAUGUCUUAAAUGUUUCAAUUCAGGUGAAAUCACUUCUCUUGCAUUCAUACACAUUGCUAAAGGCUCUCUCUCUUUCUCACUUCAUCUGUUUAUAUAAUUUGAAUUAUAACUUCAGGCUGCUUCGUGGCCCUAGUAUAAUUCUCAUUUAGGCAACAAUUGACUCGAGCUAGUGCCGGUCAGCAGCCUUUCAGGGGGGGGGGGCAUGUUCUGUGGGGUCUCAUACAGGAUUUUGAAGGACUUAAGAGUGUUGCUUGCUAGCUGUGGAAGAACUUGAAGUUUGCUUUGAGUGCCAUUAAUGCUUGUAGCAUGCUUUUUCACCCUGCCUCCCUUCCUUUCACAACUGACAGUAAAUAUACAUAUAUGGGUAAUAAGUAUCUCCAAUGAUUCUGUCAGUAUGACGGUGCCUGGUGGUUGCUGCUAGCAGUGUUGCUAUGGAUACCUGCAUGGGCUGCUUGAGGCUCAUAUCUUGCUUGGCUCUACCUUUCCCAAACUCAUCAAUUGGUUUUGAGUUUAACAGUUGGUGGAUUAAGCAUGUUAAGCCUGUAGGGCAUGUACUCUAUACAAUUAUUAUUCCUUUGAGUUAAUGAAAUAUUAUCUAGUUAAUAAAUAUUUUUCAUUUGUUUUCCUCCAUCAAGAGAAAAGAGCUUAAGUGAUAAUGUUCCCUCUGACCAAUUAUCCCAAGAAACACAGAAUUGUGUUCAGGUUUUAAGACCAAAGGUAUUCAACCAAUGACGUUGAACACGACAAUCUUUUAUCAGUUUUGCCAGAACACAGGUAAGCUCCCUUGGCAACUUCAGCAUGUCUUGAAAUAGGUCCGUUAGGCGUACAUAUGGAACUAGCCUUAAUUACCCUUUACCCAUGUUUGGUUUGGUUAUAAUUCUAGAGAUCCAACUUUGGGGUUACCAUUCAUUAAAAUUGUAAGUGGUCCUGUGGAUCUGCACACAAUGUUCUGUUUUGGAUGCAACUGUGCAAGGAGUUUUACUAUACUCGUAAAAGGCAUU